rnacentral:rRNA from 1 species
AUUGAACGCUGGCGGCAGGCCUCACACAUGCAAGUCGAGCGAGCGGCGGACGGGUGAGUAAUGUAUGGGGACUGCCCGAUAGAGGGGGAUAACUACUGGUAACGUUGGCUAAUACCGCAUACUAUCGGAUAACCCAUAGGGGAUUAGCUAGUAGGUGGGGUAAUGGCUCACCUAGGCGACGAUCUCUAGCUGGUCUGCGAGGAUGAUCAGGCACACGAGGACUGUGACACGGCCCAGACUGCUACGGAGGCAGCAGUGGGGAAGAUUGGAAGAUGGGCGAAAGCCUGAGGCAGCCAUGCCGCGUGUAUGAAGAAGGCAUUAGGGUUGUAAAGAACUUUCAGCGGGGAGGCGUUACCCGCAGAAGAAGCACCGGCUAACUCCGUGCCAGCAGCCGCGGUAAGUC